CCUACGGGUGACAGCAGUGGGGAAUAUUGGGCAAUGGGCGCAAGCCUGACCCAGCAACGCCGCGUGAAGGAAGAAGGCUUUCGGGUUGUAAACUUCUUUUCUCAGGGGCGUAGAAAGUGACGGUACCUGAGGAAUAUGCCACGGCUAACUACGUGCCAGCAGCCGCGGUAAUACGUAGGUGGCAAGCGUUAUCCGGAUUUAUUGGGUGUAAAGGGCGUGUAGGCGGAAGGGCAAGUCAGUUGUGAAAGCUCAGGGCUCAACCCUGAGCCUGCAGUUGAAACUGGGUUUCUUGAGUGCUGGAGAGGCAAUCGGAAUUCGGGGUGUAGCGGUGAAAUGCGUAGAUAUACGGAGGAACACCAGUGGCGAAGGCGGAUUGCUGGACAGUAACUGACGCUGAGGCGCGAAAGCGUGGGGAGCAAACAGGAUUAGAUACCCCGGUAGUC
rnacentral:rRNA from 1 species